rnacentral:rRNA from 1 species
AUUGAACGCUGGCGGCAGGCCUAACACAUGCACGUCGAGCGGAUGAAGGGAGCUUGCUCCUGGAUUCAGCGGCGGACGGGUGAGUAAUGCCUAGGAAUCUGCCUGGUAGUGGGGGAUAACGUCCGGAAACGGGCGCUAAUACCGCAUACGUCCUGAGGGAGAAAGUGGGGGAUCUUCGGACCUCACGCUAUCAGAUGAGCCUAGGUCGGAUUAGCUAGUUGGUGGGGUAAAGGCCUACCAAGGCGACGAUCCGUAACUGGUCUGAGAGGAUGAUCAGUCACACUGGAACUGAGACACGGUCCAGGCUCCUACGGGAGGCAGCAGUGGGGAAUAUUGGACAAUGGGCGAAAGCCUGAUCCAGCCAUGCCGCGUGUGUGAAGAAGGUCUUCGGAUUGUAAAGCACUUUAAGUUGGGAGGAAGGGCAGUAAGUUAAUACCUUGCUGUUUUGACGUUACCAACAGAAUAAGCACCGGCUAACUUCGUG